UUAGAAGCAGCCAUCAUUUAAAGAAAGCGUAAUAGCUCACUGGUCGAGUCGGCCUGCGCGGAAGAUGUAACGGGGCUAAACCAUGCACCGAAGCUGCGGCAGCGACGCUUAUGCGUUGUUGGGUAGGGGAGCGUUCUGUAAGCCUGCGAAGGUGGCCUGUGAGGGUUGCUGGAGGUAUCAGAAGUGCGAAUGCUGACAUAAGUAACGAUAAAGCGGGUGAAAAGCCCGCUCGCCGGAAGACCAAGGGUUCCUGUCCAACGUUAAUCGGGGCA
rnacentral:rRNA from 1 species